AAAGAGUUCUAUAACUCCCAAACCCAUGUGAACAUACCUAACGUUGCCUCGGCAGGUCGCACCUACCUUGUAGCACCCUACCCUGUAGGGCCUACCCGGGAGGUGCGGGUAAGCCUGCCGGCGGCCCACCAAACUCUGUUUGAUAUUGAAUUCUGAACCUAUAACUAAAUAAGUUAAAACUUUCAACAACGGAUCUCUUGGUUCUGGCAUCGAUGAAGAACGCAGCGAAAUGCGAUAAGUAAUGUGAAUUGCAGAAUUCAGUGAAUCAUCGAAUCUUUGAACGCAUAUUGCGCCCAUUAGUAUUCUAGUGGGCAGGACCGUUCGAGCGUCAUUUCAACCCUUAAGCCUUCGUUGCUUAGUGUUGGGAGCCUACGGCAACGUAGCUCCUCAAAGUUAGUGGCGGAGUUAGUUCACACUCUAGACGUAGUAAUUUUUUAUCUCGCCUAUUAGUUGGACUAAUCCCCUGCCGUAAAACCCCCAAUUUAUCAAGGUUGACCUCGAAUCGGUUCAGACAAACUCGCUAAAUUGAAGCAUCUUAGUCAGCGAAGGAAAAGAAACCAACAGGGAUUGCCCUAGUAACGGCGAGUGAAGCGGCAACAGCUCAAAUUUGAAAUCUGGCCCUCGGGUCCGAGUUGU
rnacentral:rRNA from 1 species